ensembl:lncRNA
GGUGUGUGAUGGAGAAUGUUGGUGUGUGAUGGUGAAUGUUGGUGUGUGUGAUGGAGAAUGUUGGUGUGUGAUGAAUGUUGGUGGUGUGUGUGAUGGAGAAUGUUGGUGUGUGAUGGUGAAUGUUGGUGUGUGUGAUGGAGAAUGUUGGUGUGUGAUGAAUGUGAAUGUUGUGUGUGAUGGUGAAUGUUGGUGUGUGAUGGUGAAUGUUGGUGUGUGUGAUGGAGAAUGUUGGUGUGUGUGAUGGUGAAUGUUGGUGUGUGUGAUGGAGAAUGUUUGUGUGUGUGAUGGUGAAUGUUGGUGUGUGAUGGUGAAUGUUGGUGUGUGUGAUGGUG